CGGAUUCCGCAGCCGCACGGCCCUAGGAGUGCCAGACGCCCCCGUUGGCCACCUUGCCGCUCCCAGGGUCCUCAUCGUCGUCAUUUUCAUCAUCGUCGUCUUCCUCACCCUCGUCGUCGCCCUUGCCAUCCCCAUCGUCGUCAUCGUCCGACUCCGGCCCCUCGUUCUCGUUGGCGUCCAAUUUGUCAAGGUACUUGUGUCCGGAUCAUGCCUGGCCCGCGUGACGGGGCACUCGUAGAGAUUGAGCGAGAUGAGGCGGAGGCGCGCGAGCGAGCGGCGCCAGAUCGUCCACAUCUUAGAUGCGGAGGUCGAGGUCGCGCAGCCGUGGCCCACCUCGACGAGGUGCUCGACCGUGGGAUCUCGUUCAAGUCCUCAGGUCAAUUUCCACGGGAUCCCGUUCAAGCGGAAGCACUCUACUGCGCUCCUAUGCCCCAAAUCUGCUAUUCUAUGGAGGCAGCCGUCAGCAUCCAUUUCGCCCAAUGAGCUUGGAGCCGUGCACAGCUGCCGUCCUCCAGUUCAAGACUUCUGGUGUGGUGUCGACCUCACAGCACUACCGCUCAUUUGAGUCUGAAUUUCUUUGGUACUGCACUACUACUAUCUCUAAGUUCUGCAUUUGCUAAAUAUAUAUGUUAUUGUCAAUUUGCUAAAUAUAUGUGAUUGUCAAAUAGCAGUAUUCUUUGAUGAGAUGCCAAUAUAUGUGAUUUGUUUUGUUCUUCAAUAGAUGGACCAUGUCCGCUCAAAGUCAGAGGUUCAUCACGCCAUGGUAACGAGCAUGACAUUUACUGAUUCUUCUUCUCUCUUACCACCUAUGUUCAGUUGACUGCUUAUGUGGAACACACAUGCACAACUCCAUUGAAAUAACACAUGACUUCAGAUAUCAUCUUCCGAUUCUAUUCGAUUGAAACUGUUACUAUCAUUUAUCAAUGGUUACAUUUAGAAUUACAAGUGCAUUUUCUUGAUCUUCUGUCACCUAGAUUUACUUAUGUUUAUAAGAUUUCAGAUUCAUGUUGUGAGGUCAACUUUUGCUAUUUUUAGUUGUUCUAUACCCUCCAGUUAAUGCAAGCAAGCAAACUACUCCUUCGGAUAGUACUAAACUGCUACUAUGUCUUGAAAUUGAAGAGGAUUUUGGCACGCAAGAGUUAAAACAAAUCAGGCAACAAAAAGCUAAUUCAAGAAGCCAUUGACAGUUGAUGAGACUGUCUACCUUAUUUGCUAAGUAUUUGUUGACUAUCGUAGCAUAUAUACCUACUGAAUGUGUUUGCUGCAAUUAGUGCUGAACAAUAGGAGUGUUCUGUUUCUCAUUGGAGCAGGUUGCAUUUAUGCAUCUAAACUUUAUUUAUCAAUCCUACCUUCCUCCCAUGAUGAUAAAUGAGCUCUUCUAGCAAACAAUUUGUAGAACUAAGUUGUCAAUUUAAAACACAAUCUCUGAUCAAUAUGGUAAUGUAGCAGCACUUCACAGUCGUGAUUGCAGUGUGCAAUGACGAGAUCACUAGAUAUGGUGCUCCAGAUUGAAAUCAUCAGUUUUAUUACCGGUGUGCUUAAUUACCUAUAGUUUUUUUGAUCAACCUUGUACAUUCUUCAUCUGGUAUAGAGUAGUUGACAUUUUUCUUGGAUAUUCUGUAGUUUUUUUACUCAAAAUUAUCAUGCAUAUGAUGCGGACUGAAUGACUGAAUGCUACAGACUGAAUGACUGAAUGUUGGCCCUAUGAAUGGCCCUGAAGGCCUGAACUACCCAUUUUAAAAACUUCACAGUGCUGAGCAGAGUUUAGGAUAACAUCAUAAUAGAUUCUCCCAGCCUAAGUUGACCCCAGCCUAUCACAAACAGGGGCAUAUGUUUUUAGAUCCAAAACAUGGCAUUGUUUCUGUUUAGGAAGCACACAUUAAACAGUCUAUUUACUACAAGUAUGUCUAAAUGAGUACAGUGACCAUGGUAUCUGAGUAUUUUAUCUUGUUAUCUGAUAAAUUGUUGAUCAAACGGUAUGCAUUGCUUAUAAAUUUUUAGUUUCUUCAAGAAGCUACAGUAGGAUUAACUACUGUUUCCAACAAGGGUGGUUCUGACCUCCCAGGUUCUUCUCAGCAGCCCAGCGAUCUUCUCACCGUCUCGAUCGCCAUGGCCGCUGCCACACCAACAUCACUACUCCCGGCCAUCUCCCCUUGGCUGAGGUCUUCGAUGAUGCUGAGCCUGGGCAGCAGUCCUGGUUCAUCGGCUGGAGGAGUGCCUCCAUGGACUCGUGGUCCAAAGCCACAGGGUGGCCUCGCAGUGCGCGGAUGGAAAUUCCCAGUUACAGACAAGAUGUUGACCGGGGCGAAAUAUUUUGCAUUGCAAUGACCUGAAAACUUGGAUGGUUCAGCAGAGUUGUAAAUGGUGGAGAUAUAUUUGGCAUUGAUUUACUAUUUCUGGCGUGAAGAUAUAUUAGCAAAAGUAAGGGAGAGAACAUAGUAUGGUCAUACUCAAAUGCAUAACUACCUUGAGAUCGGGCUGCAGAAUCCCUCGCCGACAGGCCGGCCAGCGUCGUGGACUACGCGGGCCAGGCUACGCGUGGCACCUCCUCCACUGUCUUCCGUGUCACCGACCUCGCCUCACCGCUCCGUCCCUAGGCUCCCUUCAUGACCGGGUCCUCGGACCGGGAGGCCCUGGCCGUGCGGAUGGAGCCAUCUAGCAUCGUCGGCACCGGAACAUCGACCACCGUAGGUGCUUCUCGAGGCAGCCGGAGGUGGGCUGCUGAUGGUCACCGCUGUCCGCGGGAUGCACUGGUAGCACGACGCAAGUGAGACCAACUCUUUGAUCUCCUGCACAGAUUUGUAGCUGCAGGAAUUUUGUUUGGGAAGAAAAAAUGCAUCUUCUUUGUCACGUGUGUAAUCGAUCAGUAAAUGUUCAGAGUGUUGUGUUGCAACACAAACAAAUCUUGCAGGACAGCUGGGUUAUAUAAAAAUUCGAUCCUGUGAUAGGUUCAGAAGAUGUACUAUAUUUGCUCUAGGAUUGGAGUAGCUUAAUUCAUACUGAAGCUUAAACAAAUUCGAAAUUUUAGAUUUGCUUGUAAUGAUCUAACGGGUAGAUAUGGGUGUAGUUUGUCAUCUAUUCGAGUUC